rnacentral:rRNA from 1 species
UACGUAGGGUGCAAGCGUUAAUCGGAAUUACUGGGCGUAAAGCGUGCGCAGGCGGUUCUAUAAGACAGAUGUGAAAUCCCCGGGCUCAACCUGGGAACUGCAUUUGUGACUGUAGAGCUGGAGUGCGGCAGAGGGGGAUGGAAUUCCGUGUGUAGCGAGUGAAAUGCGUAGAUAUGCGGAGGAACACCGAUGGCGAAGGCAAUCCCCUGGGCCUGCACUGACGCUCAUGCACGAAAGCGUGGGGAGCAAACAGG